UUCCAGCCUGGUUGCCCGCCCCGGUGCUCUACGGCAGCAUCAUCGACACGACCUGCCUCCUGUGGCAGUGGAAAUGCCAAAGGAAAGCAGCCUGCAGAUACUACAACAGCACAGCCUUCCGGCACAGCUUCGUCGGUCUGCAGUUCUGGUUCCAAGUUUGCUGCUUCUUCUGCUUGCUGAUCGUGUACUUCCUCUACUGGAGGGAAGGGCGAUCCCAGGAAGGGCCGAAGGAAGAGAAACGCCUGGACGAAAUACCAGAGGCGGAAGCAAACACUUGACUCACUCACGGUUUCUCUCCUGCCGAGCCGAGGUGCCGGGCUCCGGGACUGAGCCCCGAACUGCAGCUGCGACGGAACUGGCGAACGUCGAGGACAAUCGAGUUUUCCCUGCAGCUGGCACUGCGUUGCCGCUUUUUAAUAUUUCCCUUCCUCUGUACAUACCCUUUGGAGUCAGGUGCCCAGCUGCCAGCUGGCUGAGGGCUACAUAAAAAUACGACCGAUCAAUAAAUAAUUUGUCUUCCA